AAUAAACUAAUUUUUCAUUUUUUACCUAUAAUUUUUGACCCUUCGUCUUAUUCAAAUUUUUUUUGCGAUUGAUAUUUUUGUUUUUAUUAGAUGAUAAAUCAUGAAUAGUACUUUACGUGUGACUAAUUUUUUUCUAAUUUCUUGAAAACUUUUUAAAUAAGACGGAUGGUCAAACGUUGGAUAUAAAAACCGAAG
rnacentral:pre_miRNA from 1 species